CACACACGCUAUAUAAAUAUAUGCGGGGAUGCCCAGAUACAUUCAUGCGCCGCGCACACAGGAUACUUGCUCCCGGGAGAUAAGAGCGAGCUGGGAACAAUGCCGGGGUCCACGCCCGGCGCCCGCGCCCUGAUUCCCGCAGCCUGCACGGCCCCCCCCCCCCCCACCUUCCCCCAAAGUCCAACACCGAACGUCUUUGGCCUCCUUCCUUUUCCCCGGGCCGUUGGCCGAAGGUGGCCCUCCUGACUCAUUCACUUUCCGUUUCUUCCCACAGAUAGGUUCAUUAAUGCUUUUUCCAGCCGGAGUCAAACUUUUUUGGGGGGGUGCGGGGGGUGCGGGGGGAGCCGGAGAGUUUACUCGGGCUGGGGAUAACCUGGAGCCUACUGCCCGGGAAGAUCCGGAUGCAGACCGAAGCCGACCAACCAGUAGAAAGUGCAUCCAAUGGGAAUUUUUCCACUCGGGCUCUCGGCUGCGGAGUCGCGCAGACUCCCGAGCGGCUCACCCACCGACGCGGACUCGGGGCGGUUUCGGACCGACCCCGGCCGUCGGGGGCGUGGACUCCGCUCCCAGCGCGCUGUGAGCGGAGGGACGCCCUCGGGGAGGCGCGCCUCGGCGCCUCCGCUACUGGAGAGCUCCCGGCGCCCGCCGAAGGCUGGGACCUGCGGCACCCAAAGCCACCCACCCGCGCCUUCUAGUGUCAAGCCCCUGGUGCAUACCCCGACCCGAUGGCCCAAGCCCUGGCGCCCGGGUCAGAGCCGCCUAUGCAAUGCCACCUUGGGCCCCAAGAAACCUGCACUACUGCGAGACGAUCCCUCCAGGCUGGCCGGCGGGUCUCCAAAGCACAGCAAGCAAUAUCCCUGCCAUCGACCCAGACUUCUCGCGGGAGCAGUUGAGGCCGAGAGCUCGCUGGCCUCCCUCCCUCCCUCCCCCCACUCCCCUCUCGAAAUUAGUCUCAUCAAUUCAGCUCCAAUUUUGGGUUCGAAUACAGACACGGGGCUGAACGUGACCAGACCUGGAGUGGCGGGUGCAGCUUGCCAGCAAUUGAGCCUCGGUCCCAGACUCUGCCGACCUUCAAACGACAACAAGACUUUCGGGAGGGAGCCGGGAGACCGCUUCGCACCCGGACCUGACCAGAAACCCGGCACCCCCGGCCACAUUCCUCCUCUUUCAGGCAGAGAGAACUCCAGUCUACCACCAGAGGCCCCCUUCCUGGUGCUGGGCAAACCCUCAGGCCGUUAAUGGCCACCGCAGGCCAGCCAGCGGCUCCCCCUUCUACACCCAGUCCUCCUAGUACUUGAGAAGGCAUCUCUGCGGCAAAACAUUGGCCAGGUGUCUCUUCCCAACUCCUAUCAAGCCUGGCAAAUAGCAGACUGCUCUGAUCAAUUCAACACCCCUUCCCGGCCAAGCCUCCAAAACCUCGCUUCCCCAAAGUGACAACAGACUCCUUCAGACCACUGGCGAGGAAGAUGCUACUUGGUAGAAACAGGAGGAGGGUUGGACGCAUAAUUGGCGCACCUCGAUAAGACCCGAGAGUCCACGCCGUCGAGGUGCCCAGUGCCCACAGACGGUCACUCUGCCCACCCUUCGCUGAUACGGGACAU